UGGAAGGAAAUUAUUUCUGCUCCA
rnacentral:piRNA from 1 species